rfam:Homo sapiens chromosome 7, GRCh38 reference primary assembly.
GCCAGGCAUGGUGGCGCAUACCUGUGGUCCCAGCUACUUGGGAGGCUGAGGCAGGAGGAUUGUUUGAGCCUGGGGGUUUGAGGCUGCAGUGAACUAUGAUUGCACCAUUGCACUCCAGCCUGGGUGACAGAACAAGAUCCUGUCUCAG